rnacentral:rRNA from 1 species
AGUGAACGCUGGCGGUAGGCCUAACACAUGCAAGUCGAACGGCAGCACAGUAAGAGCUCGCUCUUACGGGUGGCGAGUGGCGGACGGGUGAGGAAUACAUCGGAAUCUACUUUUUCGUGGGGGAUAACGUAGGGAAACUUACGCUAAUACCGCAUACGACCUACGGGUGAAAGCAGGGGAUCUUCGGACCUUGCGCGAUUGAAUGAGCCGAUGUCGGAUUAGCUAGUUGGCGGGGUAAAGGCCCACCAAGGCGACGAUCCGUAGCUGGUCUGAGAGGAUGAUCAGCCACACUGGAACUGAGACACGGUCCAGACUCCUACGGGAGGCAGCAGUGGGGGAUAUUGGACAAUGGGCGCAAGCCUGAUCCAGCCAUACCGCGUGGGUGAAGAAGGCCUUCGGGUUGUAAAGCCCUUUUGUUGGGAAAGAAAAGCAGCAGGUUAAUACCCCGCUGUUCUGACGGUACCCAAGGAAUAAGCACCGGCUAACUUCGUG